rnacentral:lncRNA from 1 species
CUCAUGGGGACUUCAGUUUCCUCACUGCAAGGAAUGGGGCAUCCCCUGCUGAAGAUUUCCCCCCUGAACUCUACCCUCAGGGUUCAAAGCCCUCAAAGCUAAAGGCUAACUCCACAAGUAUAACAGAAGACUUCUUGGUGUGGAAAGUAGACCUUAAAAUAAAAGAAGCGGACAAAGAACUUGCUAAGCUUCCACAUACAACAUAUGCACAUUUGUAGAAAAUAAAAGAGAAACUUCUGAAGCUCAAAGCGAGAAAACUUUUCCUCCUUAUCCAUCCUCAGAUUCUCUACUGAAAUUGACCUUCCACAGGUCCCAGUUUGGAAAAAG